AGUUGCGUCGGUGAUGGAGACACAAUCACAAGAAAAAGUACCAAGAACGAGCUAUGAAGAACAAAUGUGGAGAAUAAAUUUUGGGACUCGGAGAAGAAAUUUCGAGAGAGCUGUGAACAUAUUGGCAGAAGGAAGAAAUUUCGAGAGGGGAGAGACGUUACCUUUUGGGGCAGAGAAGAAAGAGAAAAUAAGAUAACUAGGCACAGUUCACUCCAAAUAUGUUGAUGAACUGUAGCUAAAAGCUCGUAUGACUUUGUGGUGGCUAACUCAAUGCAGCUGAAAAUUACCUCACAUUCGCUUAAUUAUACAUUUGCAGUGCUUAAUUAGCAUAGUUGGCCAAGCUUGGGACGACAGAAUUUUGAGUUCUCCGUUGUUUCGCAAGCCAUCAGGCCUUUUUACUCGGUUGGAAGCUCAAACAAAAUAGCUUCCAAUCUUCUCAAGCUUCAUGAAUGAAUGAUCUAAAAAGGUGUUCUUUCGCCGCAAGCGACUCUUUAGCAUAAUUAUUUUAUCCACUCCACGGAAUCCGCAUUUCAUUCUCACAAUCCCUCCUCUUCCACCGACACCGUUCCCAUUCCGAUGUUUCCUAUUAUGCUUCAAUUCUGCCACACGAAUCUGGAUUCUGUACCCAUAGGGUCCUCCCUAUCCUCUUCCACCCACCCAGCCACACUCCAGCCAAAGUCUGCCUUUCACCCUUCUUGGAAAAGACCCUCAACAAUCCCAACUUGUCGGCAAACAAAUCGCUAUCCCAACUGGCUCCAAUCAUUUCAGGACUUACCCAUUAAAGGAAAAGGCUCUCCUUUUAAGGUGGUGCUGCUAUGGCCGAACGAUAUCUUAACAGAAGCUGCUUGGAGCAUUCGGAACUCAGUCAGGUACCAAACUGAACAUACGCACAUUUCCUCGGUCACCAAAGGUGAUAUAAGAUAUUUGAAUCCUGGUGAUAUAGCAGUCUUUUUGGCGCCAGAGGCUUCACCAUUGUCGGUCUAAAAGUCGUUACUGACAGUUGGUAUCCAAAGCAUGUGGCUUUUUUCAAUUCGAAAGGUGUGUUUGAGGAGGAGGGCAAUUUCGGUGACCUGGAUUGCGUUGUUGGGUCAUUUGAAGUGAUACAUUCAUUCAAGGGGUUGGAGGUUGGUGGGAUGCUUUGAGUGGGAGGAAGAGGUGAUAUCCAAAUACGUGAGAGAUGGGGGUUGUGGCUUGUGAGAUAUGGACGGUUCUUGUUGAAGAAGAGGAUGGAGAAUCGAAAGUGAUCUCAAGAUUCGAGACACGGCCAUUGAUCGCCAAAGUUGAGAGUGUUCUGUAUAAUUUGAUGGCAAUCGAAUUGGCCCAUCACGAAAUCUGCAAGGUUCUCGAGGGAUUUGGUGUCAAAUGUAAGUGGGAAAAACUCUUGAUGAAUUUUUCAGUGAAGUUCACAUACUUAGCCCACAAUGGCCUGAGUUGAGGGAAUGCUAUCUCUAGCCAUGGCUUCGCUCUUCCGUUAAAAUGGAUGACACCAGCACUCUCAGCAUCAGCAAGGCUCGUAUUUUCCUGGUAACCAAGCCCCAGCAUGUGCCAAAAGGGAUCGAUGAUAUGGACGUGACCAUGGAAAGCUAUUAGUCCAGGGGGUAAUGUCCCGAGUUGCCACAAGCUCAGGUCCGACUUCAAGUUCUGCAUACAGAUCAAAGAUGUUCAUGCCAUAAGCCCAUGCACAUUCAUUGGGAUUGAAACUGUUCGAUAUCAGAGGAUGGGAGAAGUUCAAAUAGCUCCUGAACCGCUUCGACAUGACAAACUUGUCUUCUCCCCUGCAUGUUUCCACUGCU